rnacentral:tRNA from 7 species
GCUUGUCUAGUUUAGUUGGUAAAGCGUAAAGCUAUUAACCUUGUGGUUGUGGGUUUGAGCCCUAUGGGUGGGUG